rnacentral:rRNA from 1 species
UAGGGAAUCUUCGGCAAUGGACGAAAGUCUGACCGAGCAACGCCGCGUGAGUGAAGAAGGUUUUCGGAUCGUAAAACUCUGUUGUUAGAGAAGAACAAGGACGUUAGUAACUGAACGUCCCCUGACGGUAUCUAACCAGAAAGCGACGGCUAACUACGUGCCAGCAGCCGCGGUAAUACGCAGGUGGCAAGCGUUGUCCGGAUUUAUUGGGCGUAAAGCGAGCGCAGGCGGUUUCUUAAGUCUGAUGUGAAAGACCCCGGCUCAACCGGGGAGGGUCAUUGGAAACUGGGAGACUUGAGUGCAGAAGAGGAGAUUGGAAUUCCAUGUGUAGCGGUGAAAUGCGUAGAUAUAUGGAGGAACACCAGUGGCGAAGGCGGCUCACUGGUCUGUAACUGACGCUGAGGCUCGAAAGCGUGGGGAGCAAACAGG